rnacentral:lncRNA from 1 species
GAUUGAUACCUAAUACUAGUUAUACUAUUGGAGUGAGAGCAUAUACUAGUAUUGGACCAGGAGAAUGGACUCAUAGAGAAUACACUACUAUUGAAAUACCUGUCAUUGAAACCUUUUCUAUAACAAAGCUCAAUUCUACAGCAGUGAGGGCUGAGUGGAGUUUUGUUUCUGGAGCUAGUCAUUAUACUGUCUAUUAUGAGUCAACCAGUAG